AACCCAUGAGAUCAUGACCUGAGCUGAAAACAGGAGCCGGACGCUCAACCGACUGAGCCGCCCAGGCGCCCCUUGCGUCGAAGAGUUCUACUUCCCACCAUUGUCCCUCUGCACUGGUGACCUUUGGCCAUCAGGGACUUGAGGACAUUUGUAGAGUGUGUCUGCCUCGGGCUCAGCUCCCCUGUGCGGACGGCAGUGUCUUCGGUGGAUGGCCAGGCUUCCGGCUGCAGACGCGGCCCGGCUGGAGCCCACGAGGGAGGGCCACCAGCUGGUGGUUUCCAUCUGCACAGCCUCACUCUCUUAGCUCCGGCCCUGCUGGUUGUCUCGCUCGGGCCGCCGAGGCCCCCCGGGAGCACAGCCGCCUGCGGUGAAGCCUACUUAAAAAAAUAACAGAAACUGUUAACAUAUAGAAAAAAGAUGUGGCUUCCGUGGGGCUUGUGCCUGGCUGUUCUUCAGACGUUGCACCUGUCAGGCCGGGAGCGGCAUGGGAAGGAACUCCUGUCCCUAGAGUUUGUGCCCGGGAGCAAGGCUGUAGUGGGCGACCGGGCACACGUGUGUGUCCGCGAAGGAGCACCUUUCUGCCAGGCCCACCUUGGAGGCUGUGAGGGCGCGAGGGCCUCGUGUGUGCUGCACUCCUGAGUCUCUGAUGAAAGAGGUGGCGGCCUUCUCCCUGGAAGAGCGCAUAGGCACACGGCGUUCGCGUGUCCGCGACCCGGCUCCACGUUCGAGUUCCUGGCCGUGGGCAGCUCAGCUGCCCCGCGCCGUGUUUAGGGGCCGGCCGCAGGUUGGGGAGGGGACCGUAGGGGAGGCGCCCAGCUGGAGUCCCAGACCUUGUGCUUUUCAGUCUCGUCUCACGACACGGUUCCAGUCAUCGACACGGUCACGAGAAGAGUCACACCAGCGUUAGAUGUGCGCGUCUGCCUUUAAUCUGGGGUGCUGCCGCCGCCCCCAUUUCAUAGAUGAAGAAGCUGAGCCCGGGGAAGGUGAAGUGAAGCCGCACAAUGGGGACUUGAACCCGGGUCCAGCCAGAGCAGCUGGCGUGACUGACCGCCCUCUGUGCUUGCUAGGGAUGGAACGUCAUGGGUUUGCCCAGAGCGCACGGUCCAGUGUCUCUGAGUGAGCUCAGGGCCGUGAGGUCAGCACCCCACAGCUCUAGAGCACUGUCCCCACCGAAGGAAGCCUGCGCCCACGCACAGUGACCCGUCCGUGUCUGUGCGCUUGCCCUCCCGGGCGCUUCCUGUCACCUGGCCCUCCUCUUCCACCUGGCCUCUUUCUGUGCACGAGGGCCCGUGAGGUUUGUACGUGUUGUAGCAGGGGUCAGCGUUCCAUCCUUCCCCGGCAGAGCGGUGCUCCGUGGCACAGACGGGCCCCCACCUCACGUGGCCGUUCAUCCACUGCUGGCCAUCGUGGCUGAUGCUUCUCCACAUUUGGUCCCUCGCGUGGUCGUGGAGGAUGACUGGAGUUGGCCGGCCUCGUCGCCGCCCGUGACUCUGGGUGGCCUGCCCGCCAGCACGUCCCGUCAUUGGUCACUGGCCGGUGGCCACCCUGGGCACCGCUCUGUUCUGGCUGGCGUGGGCCCCGUUCUUGAGCGUGCCCUUCCAGAGCCUUAGGCACGACGGGCAUCUGAAAGACAGGGCGCCCCGGGGAGCUGAGAAGGAAUCAGGCGCUGUCACACUGUGUCAGUGGGGCGCCAGGCAGAGGAGCCCUCCCUUUGCCCAGCAGGGUGGAGGAACGGGCUGUGGUCGGCUCCAGACCCCUCGCCGAGGGGCCCCAGCCCCGUCGUCUGGCUCGGCUAGAGUCUUUCUGAAGAGCCUCGCGCCUGUCCCCUGCGUUCCCUGUGUGGCUGCUAAACAGCAAAAAGCCUGCGGCCAGUGGGCGGCCGUCCUCACAGUGGCAAGGUCCUGCGAUAGCAGAAACACGGUGAUGUUGUCGGCGUGGCUGAGGACGGCGUCCUUCAAAGCUCCGCGUGUCUGGAUCGGGCAUUUGGAUCGUGUCUGUUCGCCACGGCAUUUGGACUGUGAAUUCCUUUAGCAAAGAAGGAAGGACCCUGGAUGGGCCUGUCUUGUUACGUUUCACUGAGCUGACCGCACCGCUUGUAAGAUACACCGUUAGUUUAGAAAUCUCCAGGAAAGGAAGCCCUUGCUUCAAGUUGAAGGGGGACACGCCUUCGAUCGUGAGAGCACGCCCAGUCUCAGAGGUGCCGUGCUUCGAGAGUGCGCCUCUCAGAGCUGACAUAGCUGGGGAGCCGAGGAGUUAGCACCUAGUGACCACGUAGCACAUGCUGGGCGUCUACCAGGGAGCCCGAGCUACGGAGGUCACGUCUCUCCUUCAUGGACGAGGAAACUGAGGCUCAGACGAGCCAGGCAGUGCACCCUGCGUCACUGAGUUGGAGUCUGAAGGCCGCACAGGCCGACCGGACGUGCAUUCUACCCGGUGCACUGUGCCCAGGUAGCGGGGUCCCGCCCCG